CACGUAGGGCGCGAGCGUUGUCCGGAAUUAUUGGGCGUAAAGAGCUCGUAGGCGGCCUGUUGCGUCCGCUGUGAAAGCCCGGGGCUUAACCCCGGGUCUGCAGUGGAUACGGGCAGGCUAGAGGUAGGUAGGGGAGAAUGGAAUUCCCGGUGUAGCGGUGAAAUGCGCAGAUAUCGGGAGGAACACCGAUGGCGAAGGCAGUGGGCUGGGCCGGCACUGACGCUGAGGAGCGAAAGCGUGGGGAGCGAACGGG
rnacentral:rRNA from 1 species